AACGAACGCUGGCGGCAUGCCUAACACAUGCAAGUCGAACGGGAUCCUAGCUUGCUAGGUGAGAGUGGCGGACGGGUGAGUAACACGUGGGAAUCUGCCUUUUGGUUCGGGAUAACCGCGGGAAACUGCGGCUAAUACCGAAUGCCCUCGAGAGAGGAAAGAUUUAUCGCCAGAAGAGGAGCCCGCGUCCGAUUAGGUAGUUGGUGGGGUAAAGGCCUACCAAGCCGACGAUCGGUAGCUGGUCUGAGAGGACGACCAGCCACACUGGGACUGAGACACGGCCCAGACUCCUACGGGAGGCAGCAGUGGGGAAUUUUGGACAAUGGGGGCAACCCUGAUCCAGCAAUGCCGCGUGAGUGAUGAAGGCCUUAGGGUUGUAAAGCUCUUUUGCCAGGGAAGAUGAUGACUGUACCUGGAGAAUAAGCCCCGGCUAACUUCGUGCCAGCAGCCGCGGUAAU
rnacentral:rRNA from 1 species